ACGCCUUAUACAUGCAAGUCGAACGAAGUAGCAAUACUUAGUGGCAGACGGGUGAGUAACAUGUGGGUAUCUUCCCUUUGGUGAGGAAUAACACGAGGAAACUUGUGCUAAUACCUCAUAAGUCUUUACGGAGAAAGCUUUAUGCGCCAAUGGAUGAGCCCGCACUUGAUUAGUUUGUUGGUGGGGUAAUGGCCUACCAAGACUUUGAUCAAUAGCUGAUCUGAGAGGAUGAUCAGCCACAUUGGGACUGAGACACGGCCCAAACUCCUACGGGAGGCAGCAGUAGGGAAUAUUGCACAAUGGAGGAAACUCUGAUGCAGCGAUGCCGCGUGAGUGAAGAAGGCCCUUGGGUUGUAAAGCUCUUUCGUCGGGGAAGAAAAUGACUGUACCCGAAUAAGAAGGUCCGGCUAACUUCGUGCCAGCAGCCGCGGUAAUACGAAGGGACCUAGCGUAGUUCGGAAUUACUGGGCUUAAAGAGUUCGUAGGUGGUUAAAAAAGUUGGUUGUGAAAUCCCGGAGCUUAACUCCGGAACUGCAAUCAAAACUUUUUAGCUAGAGUAUGAUAGAGGAAAGCAGAAUUUCUAGUGUAGAGGUGAAAUUCGUAGAUAUUAGAAAGAAUACCAAUUGCGAAGGCAGCUUUCUGGAUCAUUACUGACACUGAGGAACGAAAGCAUGGGUAGCGAAGAGGAUUAGAUACCCUCGUAGUCCAUGCCGUAAACGAUGUGUGUUAGACGUUGGAAAUUUAUUUUUAGUGUCGCAGCGAAAGCAAUAAACACACCGCCUGGGGAG
rnacentral:rRNA from 1 species